rnacentral:lncRNA from 1 species
GAGAGAGAGGGCGAGAGAGAGGGAGAGGAGCCAGAUCUUGUAGGAUCUUGAAGGCCAUGUUGAAGAGACUACAUUUCAUUUUAAAUGAGUUAAGAAAUCAUUGGAGGAGAAUUUUGAACAAGAAAGUGAGGUGAUCUAUUGCAUGCAUUUAAAAUGUCAUUCUGGUUCUUGUGUUGAGAAUAACGUGGAGGAAAGACUAAGCAGAGAGAACAUUUUGGAAACUAUUGAGAAGUCUGGUGAGUCAGAAUGGAAGACGGUAAGAAGAGGCCACAUCUGGGACUCAUAUUAAAGGAAGGGUCUCAGAUCACCUCUUGUGGGGAGAUACAUCCAGCUGCCUCAUUGUGGUGGUCUCAGGGGUAAGGAAUCGAGACCCAACCAGCGUGACAAAUAAAC